GAACUGAUGAGCUAUCCAGUGUAAAAAAGGUUGGCAUAGUUUACUUUACGUUGUAAGUGUGAUUUUUAUUUGCAGAGAUGUAAGUGGGUGCAGUGAAUAUGCAGAAAGCUUUAUCACUCAAGAGAUCGAUGGUUAUGCAUUGAUGUUAGUCAAAGAAGAGCACUUAGUUGUGGGAUUACAAAUGAAAUUAGGUCCUGCCUUAAAACUAGUUGGUCGAGUCAAUCAAAUGAAAGCUGACGCAUUACAGAAAAUGAACUUUAAUAGUGGGUUUAGAACGGGAUAGAGAACAGAAAACACGUGUUGUAUAUAGAAAAAACCCCACAAAAAACAGGCUCAUUUUACAACAUUUCUGAAACUAACAAAGUGACCAAGUAUUUAAAUUUAUAAACCUUCACUCCCUUUAAAAACUCUUUCAUCAUACAUGUUCUAAACAUAUUUUGCUUGCAAUGCCGAUUGACGUCUUCAUGCAUGAUAUAACGUUGCCGUAUUAAAACUGUGAUGCAUUAUUGAACUAAUGGCCUAUAUGAUACAUAAUUAGGUUAAAUAAUAUAUUUGGUGCAAAUAGCAGAUAAUAUUUCAAAAUAGCAACCCUUACUAGAACAGAAAAUAACGAACAGAAUUUAUAAGUUUAAAUCUCUUCAGGGAUAGCCGUUAAAAACGAAGUGUUAAAAGUGUUAGUGGUGCAACGUAACGAUUUUUACCACUUGCGAUUAGGGCAUGUUAGACAUGAAAAUUGGUGAUCAGGUCUAGUUUUGCCCUCGCAUAUUAACACAAUUUGAAGAAAUGAUUACAGUGCGGAUUGAUCAAUCAACAUUCUAAUCUUAAGUUUUCCUUAAAGUCAUUUGAAGACUACAUAAUACAUGAAGUGUAUUAUUUGAUUUACUAAUAAAGAAUGAAAAACAGAAAUCAGAAUGCAUAACUUAAACAAGCAAACAAUUUUGUGUAGUAAUUAAUUUUUGGCAAAACAACUUGCCCGGCAACCAAGAAGCAACUUCUACUUGUCCCAGGCAAGCGCUAUAUAAGUUGCAUCACUGGUGUAUACUCAUGAAGUUAAUUUAUAAUCAAGAAUAUGUCCGUACAGUAAAAUGGCGUGGUGUCGCCAAUUGACAAAAUAGAAAACAAUUUUUCACCUUGGUUAGACCACAAUGCUUCACGAUUGAAGAUGGUACCGUUAUAUGUAAAGACGUCAAUUGAGAACGUUUGCGUAACCUGAAGAAAGGUUUUUGCCGUUGCCCAUAAAUAACUUGGGCAUAGUUUGCUUUUCACUAAACAAGGACAUAUGGAAGCCUGUAGGUCGGCCAGAAGUCAUAUGCCAAAAGCCCAGAUUAACUUGGGUAUAGUUUUUCACUCAACAAUGACUUAUGAAAGCCUAUAUAGAAACUACUAUUAACAAAACACGUAGUAGCAGUUAUUAUAUGUUCUAAAUUAUUCAAAUUUUAGUUUUAUAUUGUGUUAGAAUGUAUAUAUCUUGGAAGCCAUUUAUAUUGGGAAAUGUAAAUUUAAAAUCUCUUUAAAUAAAUAAUUGUAUAUAA
rnacentral:lncRNA from 1 species